rnacentral:rRNA from 1 species
AGAGUUUGAUCAUGGCUCAGAUUGAACGCUGGCGGCAGGCCUAACACAUGCAAGUCGAGCGGUAGCACAGAGAGCUUGCUCUCGGGUGACGAGCGGCGGACGGGUGAGUAAUGUCUGGGAAACUGCCUGAUGGAGGGGGAUAACUACUGGAAACGGUAGCUAAUACCGCAUAACGUCGCAAGACCAAAGUGGGGGACCUUCGGGCCUCAUGCCAUCAGAUGUGCCCAGAUGGGAUUAGCUAGUAGGUGGGGUAACGGCUCACCUAGGCGACGAUCCCUAGCUGGUCUGAGAGGAUGACCAGCCACACUGGAACUGAGACACGGUCCAGACUCCUACGGGAGGCAGCAGUGGGGAAUAUUGCACAAUGGGCGCAAGCCUGAUGCAGCCAUGCCGCGUGUGUGAAGAAGGCCUUCGGGUUGUAAAGCACUUUCAGCGGGGAGGAAGGCGUUAAGGUUAAUAACCUUGGCGAUUGACGUUACCCGCAGAAGAAGCACCGGCUAACUCCGUGCCAGCAGCCGCGGUAAUACGGAGGGUGCAAGCGUUAAUCGGAAUUACUGGGCGUAAAGCGCACGCAGGCGGUCUGUCAAGUCGGAUGUGAAAUCCCCGGGCUCAACCUGGGAACUGCAUUCGAAACUGGCAGGCUAGAGUCUUGUAGAGGGGGGUAGAAUUCCAGGUGUAGCGGUGAAAUGCGUAGAGAUCUGGAGGAAUACCGGUGGCGAAGGCGGCCCCCUGGACAAAGACUGACGCUCAGGUGCGAAAGCGUGGGGAGCAAACAGGAUUAGAUACCCUGGUAGUCCACGCCGUAAACGAUGUCGAUUUGGAGGUUGUGCCCUUGAGGCGUGGCUUCCGGAGCUAACGCGUUAAAUCGACCGCCUGGGGAGUACGGCCGCAAGGUUAAAACUCAAAUGAAUUGACGGGGGCCCGCACAAGCGGUGGAGCAUGUGGUUUAAUUCGAUGCAACGCGAAGAACCUUACCUGGUCUUGACAUCCACAGAACUUUCCAGAGAUGGAUUGGUGCCUUCGGGAACUGUGAGACAGGUGCUGCAUGGCUGUCGUCAGCUCGUGUUGUGAAAUGUUGGGUUAAGUCCCGCAACGAGCGCAACCCUUAUCCUUUGUUGCCAGCGGUCCGGCCGGGAACUCAAAGGAGACUGCCAGUGAUAAACUGGAGGAAGGUGGGGAUGACGUCAAGUCAUCAUGGCCCUUACGACCAGGGCUACACACGUGCUACAAUGGCAUAUACAAAGAGAAGCGACCUCGCGAGAGCAAGCGGACCUCAUAAAGUAUGUCGUAGUCCGGAUUGGAGUCUGCAACUCGACUCCAUGAAGUCGGAAUCGCUAGUAAUCGUAGAUCAGAAUGCUACGGUGAAUACGUUCCCGGGCCUUGUACACACCGCCCGUCACACCAUGGGAGUGGGUUGCAAAAGAAGUAGGUA